rnacentral:rRNA from 1 species
GUAGGUGGCAAGCGUUGUCCGGAAUUAUUGGGCGUAAAGCGCGCGCAGGCGGGUCCUUUAAGUCUGAUGUGAAAGCCCACGGGCUCAACCGUGGAGGGUCAUUGGAAACUGGGGGACUUGAGUACAGAAGAGGAAAGCGGAAUUCCAAGUGUAGCGGUGAAAUGCGUAGAGAUUUGGAGGAACACCAGUGGCGAAGGCGGCUUUCUGGUCUGUAACUGACGCUGAGGCGCGAAAGCGUGGGGAGCAAACAGGAUUAUAUACCCUGGUAGUCCACGCCGUAAACGAUGAGUGCUAAGUGUUAGGGGGUUUCCGCCCCUUAGUGCUGCAGCUAACGCAUUAAGCACUCCGCCUGGGGAGUACGGCCGCAAAGGCUG